rnacentral:rRNA from 1 species
CACGUGGGGAACCUGCCCCAUAGUCUGGGAUACCACUUGGAAACAGGUGCUAAUACCGGAUAAGAAAGCAGAUCGCAUGAUCAGCUUUUAAAAGGCGGCGUAAGCUGUCGCUAUGGGAUGGCCCCGCGGUGCAUUAGCUAGUUGGUAAGGUAAAGGCUUACCAAGGCGAUGAUGCAUAGCCGAGUUGAGAGACUGAUCGGCCACAUUGGGACUGGGACACGGCCCAAACUCCUACGGGAGGCAGCAGGC